rnacentral:rRNA from 1 species
CGACUUUUAGUUUGCCCCCCCGAAACUAAGUGAGCUACUUCAAAGCAGCUGUAAGAGCUAACCCCUCUCUGUCGCAAUAGAGUGGGACGACUUUUAAGUAGAGGCGACAAACCUACCGAACUUAGAGAUAGCUGGUUAUUUAAGAAAAGAAUUUAAGUUCAGCCCCAAGCCUCUUUUUAUCAAAAAAAUUUCCUCAGACUUGGGAGUUACUCAAAUAAGGCACAGCUUAUUUGAAACAGGACACAACCUAGAAUACUGGGUAAAACAAUUGAAAUUGUGGCAAGUGGGCCUAAAAGCAGCCACCUUCAAAAAAGCGUCAAAGCUUACCAACAACAACUUCCUAAUAACCUCAACAAUUUUUAUCCCACAUAUCCUAUUAAAUUACCCCAUACAACUAUGGGAGCUAUAAUGCUAGAACGAGUAACAAGAAAAAGACUUUCUCCAAAAUGUAAGCUUAAGCCGCAAUGGACCAACCGCCGGCAAUCAACGCCUCUGAGCUAAUUUUAGUAACACUAACAAGAAAACCCU